rnacentral:lncRNA from 1 species
GUGUUUUUGGUUAGAUAGUGGGUUUGUGUUUUUUUUAUGGCUAUAGGAUGCAAAUUCUCUUAUCUAAAUAAUAUCUGCUCGUUCCACUAUUUCAUCUUAUAAAAUUCUAAAUUACGAGCUUACAAAGUCCUGUGAUGUAAGGAACAUAUAAGUGGUUUUCAAAAGUACUGUCCUUUUAGUUAGGUUUUUUUUAAAUACUUUUAGUUAGUUGGAACGAUUAAUUGGACCAAACACGUCUAACCAAAGAGCCAAUGUUUCAUGUCCACACCCGCAAACAACCACAGUCCAACUUUGGUUCAACAACAUGGCUCAUUUUUUAUUUGAUCGGACUGCACCACACCACGCGCACCUAAAGUUACCUAACCCAUUAGGUAUAUUUUAAAUUUAUAACCAAUACCUCUUUUUACAUGAGUUGUUUCUCCGUUUUAAUAGA